AACGAACGCUGGCGGCAGGCCUAACACAUGCAAGUCGAGCGCGCCCUUCGGGGUGAGCGGCGGACGGGUGAGUAACGCGUGGGAACGUGCCCUUUUCUACGGAAUAGCCUCGGGAAACUGAGAGUAAUACCGUAUACGCCCUUUGGGGGAAAGAUUUAUCGGAAAAGGAUCGGCCCGCGUUGGAUUAGGUAGUUGGUGGGGUAAUGGCCUACCAAGCCGACGAUCCAUAGCUGGUUUGAGAGGAUGAUCAGCCACACUGGGACUGAGACACGGCCCAGACUCCUACGGGAGGCAGCAGUGGGGAAUCUUAGACAAUGGGGGCAACCCUGAUCGAGCCAUGCCGCGUGAGUGAUGAAAGCCUUAGGGUUGUAAAGCUCUUUCAGCUGGGAAGAUAAUGACGGUACCAGCAGAAGAAGCCCCGGCUAACUCCGUG
rnacentral:rRNA from 1 species